AUUUUUAUAGUGUAACGCAAACACAUUACAUUUUCAUUGUAAAGCUGAAAUUUAAAUUUCUAAAAAUU
rnacentral:tRNA from 1 species